AAUAAAUAAACAAAUCCAGCCUCGGCCAGCACCCGGUGAGGCGAGCCUGGCGCACACCUGAAGGCUGGUCUGUGAUUCACGGCAGAAUGGAUCACCAUGUAAACACUCCUAGGAAGUGAGUAAUUACUCUUUACCCGGACGCCGUUUGCAGGAAAAGCACGCCGAUGGGAUGCCACACUCACCCAAAACCUCAGUCAACUAUAUUUAUGAGUUUACAUUCAUUUGAUGAAUUACGACAGGCACACCUGUUUGGCUUCGUGGACUGCAGACACCGCCAGGGAAUGGUUGAGCAGAAAACUGCGUGAUCCCAAGGGCUGGCUGAAGGAUAAGACCCAAGACAGCAAAGGGCAGGGUGGAGACUAACUAGAAUGGGAAGAGAACAUAACAUUGUCCUCAGGUCAGACAUCUAAAGUUAUGGAAAAUUGCGCCACUAAAAUAAGAGGUAACUUGCUUCAUUAUCACAUCAAAUUGCUUUCAUGGGAACUCAUCUUCCAGCUCCCUGCAAACAACACUGCUUGAUACAAAAACAGACAGAAAAGUGAAGCUUCCCUGGAGCUAUCAACACCUGGCAAACCUGAAGUCUGAAUUUCACUUCUUCUACAUCUCCCUAUGAAAGCUGUGCGGGCUUGCUGGAGAGGAAAAA